rnacentral:misc_RNA from 1 species
UCACAACCUUAAGUUGCUAUCUUAGUAGGAUCCCCAAUAUGAUCCUUUACACACUAUCCAAUAGAAGAAGUAAAUAAGCAGUGUGGUGGUAGGCUAAUACUUACAAAAUCAAGGGUAUAAUCUUUGGCCAUUAGAAAUGGAUAAAGAAUGAACCAGAAUACAAUAUCAGUAAGCAUCACAGCACCAGCAGAUGUCUGAAAAAUAAUUUGAAAAAUAUAGCCCCAUGCACCUGCAGUUUGGCGACCAUGAGGUUCUCCAUUGAUAUCUAGACUUUUGGGCAAGUCAAAU